CGUACACUCCUACGGGAGGCAGCAGUGGGGAAUAUUGGACAAUGGGCGCAAGCCUGAUCCAGCCAUGCCGCGUGAGUGAUGAAGGCCCUAGGGUUGUAAAGCUCUUUCACCGGUGAAGAUAAUGACGGUAACCGGAGAAGAAGCCCCGGCUAACUUCGUGCCAGCAGCCGCGGUAAUACGAAGGGGGCUAGCGUUGUUCGGAUUUACUGGGCGUAAAGCGCACGUAGGCGGACUAUUAAGUCAGGGGUGAAAUCCCGGGGCUCAACCCCGGAACUGCCUUUGAUACUGGUAGUCUUGAGUUCGAGAGAGGUGGGUGGAAUUCCGAGUGUAGAGGUGAAAUUCGUAGAUAUUCGGAGGAACACCAGUGGCGAAGGCGGCUCACUGGCUCGAUACUGACGCUGAGGUGCGAAAGCGUGGGGAGCAAACAGGAUUAGAAACCCCAGUAGUCCCAUGA
rnacentral:rRNA from 1 species